rnacentral:lncRNA from 1 species
GAGAACACAGUAUUAUGACUUUCGGCAAUUUUACAAUGAACAAAUAUUCAACGUGCAAAAUCAUAAAGGGAAAGAGGCCACAUCUCAGUCUCCGCGGUGUGAUGCAGCCAUUCAGACCGUGUGGAGUGGAGGCGAGUGUAACCGUAGCAGCCCUGCUGCUACCGCACAGACCAAAACAACAGCACAGAAGGUCUCACACGUUUCUGCACGCGUUGCUUUGCCUGCUCUGUGCAGUUCAAGGGUAAUUAUACUCAAAUCCAACAAAGAACACUUACAGCACCUAAAAAUCUGGCCCAGUGCUUCCUCUAACUACCAGGGCUAGAGAAAACAGCCUGAAACAUUGAGCUGAAAGCUCUUCUUUUGACUUCGGUGGUGAAUAAUUCAUUCUAGCACUAAAUCUGAACUUAAAAUCCAUCAGAAAGGACUACAAAAAGACAGAUCCACGUGGCCAAACAGUUUCUCAGCCCUGCUGAAGACUGCAAGCCUCUUUACUCGCAUCUGAUUCCUAAGUGCUCGUUCUUUGUGUGUGAAUCACUGUGGAGCGGGACAGCUGGUCCCACCUGGUAUUUUCCCACUACGAAAACAUGAUGCCCCACAUUUCCUCAUUCUAAACAGCACAACAGCCAAAAACCAGGCUGAAGUGUAACAGAAAACAUCAACCGCUAACGCCUCCUCCUUACUUCAGAGUCUCCGCAGUGCCCACUUUGUCAGUUAUGCCUCCUGUACUGCUGCUGGGAGCCAAGGGGUCUCAGACAGACAGACAAAAUUACCAAUUUGAGAAUGUUUUCCUCCCUUUUCAUAGGCUUGCAUGAUGUGUUAACCAGCCCCGGGCAGGUUAGAUCAGAGCAUCAUCAGCAUGUGUAUCCCCACAUGCAACAAUGAACCCCUUUUUGGGACCAGGCAAGUGAAAAUGGUGUCUGGUUCUGACAGUGAAAUCAAAUGCAAUAUGUUGAGGAAGAGGAGUACUUCAGAAGCAGCAAAAGCAUGAAUCAAUUUGCUAUCUUUGAGUACUACAAAACAGGAGUAGUAAAUUGAAGCCACCACUGUCACAGCAUGGUUUCACUUGUCAUACAGCAGGACCUGAGGCAAAAGCCAGAGGAGCACCCAAAGACGAGCUCAGAGAAACACAAUAGGACCAUAAUUUUAAAUAAGG